CGAGCGGGCGCUCCCGCUGGGCUUGCCGGGAGGACCGCAGGCGGGAUAGGGGUCCGCGCAGCCCUGACCCUCAUACCCUUGCAUUCUUUCUGCUCUGCCAUCUGAGAUCACCUAAGCUGUUGCUGGGCCGCCAUGACAGUCCCCACCGGGCCAGGAGGCCAGGACACCAGAGGGUUUGCCCCAGUCCUUCCCCACGUGCCUCUUCUUCCAUCCACUCCGCAGCCAAAGAUUGGGGGGUUGAUAGGGAGCAAGGAGUCCAAUCAUUAUAGAAAACUACUGAGAUUUUGAGAAUUCUCAGUAAAGCAUGAGUAAACCUGAAGCUCCAUAAAUUAGAUGUUUAUCUCAUUUUACACAAAAGGAAACUGGGGCUCAAAGCCAUCGAGUACCUUGCACUAGUAACAUAGCACUAGUAGCUGGUGGAGUCAAUAUUCCAACCCAGAAGCUUCCUUCUCAAAAACCCAGACUGUUCGAAAUAGUAAUGACAUUAUUAUGCUCACCCUCUGAGAUGCAGCAACCCUACUCUGAAAUGCUGGGUGAUCCUGUUUCUGCUCUUCCAGUAAGUGUGCCCGUCCCUAUGCACCGUUGAGGAUUUCCAAAUGUUUCACAGGGUCUUUGUUCUUUGACCAAAUUAGGUAAUAUCUGUCCCUGGCAUCUGCUUUACCAGGUUUUCUUAAUUUCAACAACCUCUGCCCAGGGAAAGGUAAACACUGCCUCCAGAAGAAAGCAGCAGCUCCCCUCCCCCAUCUCAGUGCAUUCUCUCCCACCGAGGCACCGACCACUGGAGAACCCAGGGGUCACUAAUUCCCAACCUGUGAGGAAACCUGGGGCACUCCGUGAAGACAGAAAAUCCUUGAGUCACAGUUCAGGGAAUCCAAGUUCUUUAUUUUCCUAAUGUCAAAAUUAAGGCCCAGAAGUGACCUGGGUCACAGCGGGUGUGAUCUCUGGGAUCUUUUAUACCAGGGGUCCCCAACCCCUGGGCCCUGGACCACACCAUACCAGUCCAUGGACUGUGAGAAACCAGGCCGCACAGCAGGAGGUGAGCGGCUGGUGAACCAGCAUUACCGCAAGAGCUCUGUCCCCUGUCAGAUCAGCUGGGCAUUAGAUUCUCAUAAGAGAGCGAACCCUAUUGGUGAACUAUGCCUGCCAGGGAUCUAGGUUGCUCCUUAUGAGAAUCUAACAAAUGCCUGAUGAUCUGAGGUGCAACAGUUUCAUCCCGAAACCAUCACCCCCACCCCAUCCGUGGAAAAAUUUUCUUCCAUGAAGCCGGUCCCUGGUGCCAAAAAGGUUGGGGACACUGCAGUUUAUACAAUACUUUGGCUAAGCUAGGACAAAAUGGUGAUUCUCUUUCUCAGGAAGAAAAUAAUAAUACUAAUCAUGGUGAUAACUAACAUUUAUUGACACAUGUGCCAGACAAAGCCCUCACUCACAUCCAGUUCUCUGAAUUACAGAUUCUAUGCCUGAGUUUAAGUGAAUUUAAUUUAAAAGCAUACAGAUAUACUGAGGUUAUUCCAGCAAAAAACAAAUGAGGUAUGUAGUUGCAGACAACUUGAACUAAAGAAACAAAGAAAUAAGUAAACUUUAAUCAUUAACAUCAUUAUCCCAAUUUUAUCCAGAACUCUUGCAGGCAGUCACUUCUUCUAAGAAUAAUAUAGUUGAGCACAUGAAUUAGUGGCUGAAGUUUACACUGUCUCCACUCCCAACAACACUCUCUCUCUAUCUCUCCUCCUCACCUCCUCUCUCUCUCUCACACACACACACACACACACACACACACACGGCGGGGGUGGGACAGAGAGAGAGAGAGAGAGAGAAAGAGAGCACACUUUUGAUUUUUUUUUUUUCUUGGGGAAAGGGAUAGGUGGAAUCUGUAUAUGUCUUUGGAAUCACUGGAAAUGCUAUUCCCCAAUGGUGCAUCCUGCUCCACAUCCUAGCAUAAUUGCCAUAAUUUCUUAACCUCAAGAAAGAGUAUUCCUUGGCUGGAAAUAUAUCUCUAUUUUGUCUCCCCUUUCCAAGCAUUCUCCUAUUUAGUGGAAAUCCAAGGAGGGUCAAUUUGCAGGCUUUAUGCUCGUCCUCUGACCCCAAUGGGUAGACAUUGUAAUCCUUGAGAUUACCAGGGGCAAAAAGAAAAGGAACAGGUCUCUGAGAAUGAGAAACUAAAUAAUUUUUUCUUGUAGAUUGGCACUAAAUGUUAAAUUUACUCCCAGUAGUACCUUGAGAAUCUGUACCAAGAGUUUUUAGAAUUAGCUCAUUCACAUUUUUGAAGCAAGUCAAUAAAGGAACUAGGUUUUUUUAUCCAAGUGGUUUACAAGAAAUGAUUCUAAAUAAAGAACUAUGCAGUAUAAAAGGUACAGAAUCCUGUCAGACCUGCUACAGCCUAAGAAAAUAGAGGUAUUUUUCUAUGAAAGAGAAGUUUUAAAAGAGAAAUUUUCAUCCUCAUAAUGGACAGAUUUCUGAAACAAUAAAGCAGAUAUGUGGGUAUCAAAGAGCAAUAUCAGUCCCCUGGGUGGCUGUCCGCCUUUUGGACUUGGGCCUGUAAAAUUGCAGAGAAGCAGCUUGUCCCCUGGCCCCUUUCCUCUGAGGGCCUUUUUUACUCUUUGUCCCUCCCUUUCCUGUCUUUCCUCAGGAAUCCCAGUCUUCCUACCCCUCCUGGAAAAUGUGUCCUCAUUGCAUUCCUCUCUCUCUCUCUGCUCAUCAAUUAAAUUUCUUAACCCUUUGUAUUGUGAAAGAUAACACACAUACAGAAAAGAAGUUCAUAAACAACAAUGUAUAAUGGCUUAUCACAAGGAAAAUACUGAUGUCAGGCCAUGAAACAGAUUCUUGUCAGCCUUCCGGAAACUCCUCUUUUGCCCCUCCCUUCAAUUAAAAGUUAGUUUCUUUCUUGCUUGCUUGCUUGCUUGCUUUUCUUUCUCUCUCUCUCUCUCCCCCUCUUUCUCUUCCUUUCUUCCUCUCUUCCUUCCUUCCUUUCUUUCUUUCUUUCCUUUUAUUUUGCAGUGUCUCUAUUGCCCAGGCUGGAGUGCAGUGGCAGGAACAUAGCUCACUGCAGCCUUGACAUCCCAGGCUCAAGCAAUCCAGCCACCUCAGCCUUCCAAAUAGCUGAGACCACAGGCACAUGCCACCACAUUCAGCUCUUUACUUUUAGUAGAGAUGAGGUCUCAUCAUGUUGCCCAAGUUGGUCUCAAACUCCUGGGCUCAAGCAAUCCUCCUUCUCCAGCCUUCCGAAGUACUGAGAUUACAGGCUUCAGACACCACUCCCAGCCCAAUUCAAAUGUUCAGAAUAAUCAAAUCCUUCUUUUUGUUUAUAGUUUACACCUAACUAUCCAUCCCUAAACAAAAUAGAUUAGGUUUUCUAGAUUUGCUCUUUAUAUAAAUGGAAUCAUACUGUUUCGCCCUUUUAUGUUUGACUUGGUUCCCUUAAUAUUACGUUUGUAAUAUUCUUCCAUGCAGUUGCAAGUAGCUGUAGUCUUUUUGUUUUUCUAUUGUAUGUAAUACCACAAUUUACUGAUCCAUUUUACUGCAGAAAGAUAUCUAGGCUGUUUCCAGCUUUGACUAUUAUUAAUACUGCCACAAUGCACAUUUUGCACACUUCCCUUGGUAUGCAUAGGCAUGCACUUCUGGGAGGUAUACAUGUAGGAGUGGCAUUGUGAGGUCAUGGUAUAUAUAUAUGUAUGUUCGGUUUUAGUAGAUAUCGCAGUUUCCCAAAUUGUUUGUAUUGAUUUUAUCACUACCAGGAAUGCAUAAGCUUCCCCAGUUCUUCACAUCCUUGACAAUUAGUAUAUUAGAAUUGUCACAGUAGAUAGACAUUCUGGUGAGUGCAUAGCAGUAUCUCAUUGUGGAAUUCAACUUUUCUUUAUGACUAAUGAGUUUGAGCAAUUUUUUCUAUGAUGAGUUGCCAUUUGGACAUCCUCUUUUUGUUUUUCUUUUUUGUGAGUUGGAGUCUCAUUCUGUUGCCCAGGCUGGAGAGCAGUGACACAAUCAUGGCUCAGCUCACUGCAACCUCAACCUCCUGGGCUCAAACAAUCCUCCCUCCUUGAGUUCCCAAAGUGUUAGAAUUAUAGGCGUGAGCCCCAGAGCCUGGCCAGGACAUUUCUCUUUUGAUGGACCAAUUCAAAUAUCUUGCCCAUUCUUAUGAUGAGUUGUUUGUCUUUUUCUUACUCACUUAUGAGUUAUUUUUAAGUUCUGUUUUUAUCUUAUGGUGUGAAGGUAUAUAGGUUGUUUUUAUUAAUAUGAAUAAGUGAUAUCACAGCCUCACUCAUAGAAAAGAUUAUCCUAUCCUCACAACUUUGCAGUGGCUCCUUAGUCAUAAUUCAAUUGCUGAUCUACCCAUAGGUCUGCUCUGGGCUCCCUCUUCUAUUCCUCUAGUUUAUUUACCAAUAUUUAUGUCAAUAUCACAUUGCCGUAAUCAUUAUGAUUUAUAACAAGUCUUAAUAUUCAAUGAAGCAGGGCUUUUCAUUCUGUUCUUCAAGAUGGAUUCUUCAAGAUAGUCAACAGCACAGAUCUUAGUCUUAGUUCUGAUCUCAAAAGGAUGGGUAUUAAAUAUGAUAUCAUAUCUUUAUCACAGAUAUCCUUUAUCAGAUAAGAGAGGAGAAGGGUUCCCUCAUUUUCUUUGUUUGCUAAGAAUUUUUAUUAUGAAUGAAUACUAUUAAAUCAACUUUUCUGCCUCUAGAGUUGAUCAUAUGGUUUUUCUCCAUCAUUCUAUGUAUUAAAAAGUAGUUAUGAUGACUUUUUUUUUUUUUUUAGAUGGAGUCUUGCUCUGUCGCCCAGGCUGGAGUGCAGUGGUUCAAUCUCUGCUCAUAGAAGCUCCGCCUCCCAGGUUCAUGCCAUUCUCCUGCCUCAGCCUCCCAAGUAGCUGAGACUACAGGCGCCUGCCUGUAGUCCCAGCUAAAUUUUUCUAUUUUUAGUAGAGAUGGGGUUUCACCGUGUUAGCCAGGAUGGUCUUGGUCUCCUGACCUCGUGAUCCGCCCGCCUCGGCCUCCCAAAGUGCUGGCAUUACAGACGUGAGCCACUGAGCCCGGCCUAACUGUGUUGACUUUUUUAAUGGUAAACUAAGUGUACAUUCAUAGGAUAAACCCUACUCAUAUCUAUACAUAUAUUUAAUAAGAUUGCUAAUAUUUUGUUUAACAUUUUUGCACCUAUGUUCAUGAGUGAGAUUGGCCUGAAUUUUUCUUUCUCAUAAUAUUCUUCUGAGAUGUUUGUAUAGGGUAAUGAUGGCCUUGUUAGAAGUGGAGAGUUUUCCCUCUUUUUCUUUCUUUAAAGAGUUUAUACAGAUUAUUUCUUAUAUAAACUGUGUUAUUUCUUCCUUAAUAGUUAAUAAAAUUUACUUGUUAAGCCAUCAGACUUUUUCUUUGUGGUCGUUUUCUUUGUGGAAAAGUUUUUAAUAAAUGAUUCAAUAUCUUUAAUAGUUAUAGGACUAUUCCAAAUUCUUAUUUUUUCUUUUUUUUUUUUGAUGGAUAGCAUAGCUUUAUUCAGAGUGAAACCUUCCUUUCACAGAAGAAUAAUAAAGGUAAAAUAGAGGUACUCUUGUAGAUCUGAAAAACAGCUUUCAUGGGCUAGUCCAGGGGGAAUAACCACCGGGAGCGGGGGUUCUUACCUGAGUGUUAGGAUGCCGGAUGCCCUUGUCUGAGAUUGCAGUGUGACUCUCAUUUCCUCCCAGGGAGCUGCUAGAGAUUAGGACAUGGGUGACAGGAAAGCUAAUUGCCUCACCUUACCAAGUGGCUCUCCAUAAAGAAACACUUACGGCAGACAAGAUCACUUUGGGGAACAAUAGGUCUUUCCCACUUAUCCACACCAUCUCGAGGAAAGGCAAGAAUCUGCUGGGGAACAUGCAUCUAUCCUGCUACCCCUUCCAUCCUCAAGAAGACUCUUACUGGCCCUCAUGAAAGUCCUCCCUUGUUCUUGAUGCAGAGAAGUGUCUGCAGACAUUUAUUCCUGUGGUCUUCUGCUUCCUGCUCACCCUCCGGAACCAGAGUCAGGGGCUAUUCAGACUGGCACAGCCAAUGUGUCCUACUGAGGAGCUCCUUUGCUGCUGUGUUUUGAACCCAUGACCCUCACCCUGAGCACAGCCAGUUGGCCCAGGUAAGGGUGGUGCUGAUGCAAAUGCAGCAUCAAAAGGCUGGCCAAUCACCUCUCACCUACAGAUAUUAGGUUGGUGCAAAAGUAAUUGUGGUUUUUUCAAUUACCACAAGUACUUUUGCACCAGCCUAACACAAUCAGUCCUAAGCCUGAGCAAUUCUACUUCCUAAGUAUUUCUCCCUCUUUUCUGUUCACAUCUCUUCUUUUUUAUUAUUAUUAUUAUACUUUAAGUUUUAGGGUACAU
rnacentral:lncRNA from 10 species